UCAGGGCUCUUUCUCUGCUUUGCUG
rnacentral:snRNA from 1 species